rnacentral:rRNA from 1 species
UGAGCAAUCUGCCCUUCUCUUCGGAAUAAGCGUUGGAAACGACGUCUAAUGCCGAAUACGACCUCCUUUCGCAUGAUCGGAGGUGGAAAGCUCCGGCGGAGAAGGAUGAGCUCGCGGCCUAUCAGCUAGUUGGUGUGGGUAAUGGCCCACCAAGGCGACGACGGGUAGCCGGCCUGAGAGGGUGACCCGGCCACACUGGGACUGAGACACGGUCCAGACCUCCGUACGGGAGGNAGCG